GGCCCGUUGGUCAAGCGGUUAAGACACCGCCCUUUCACGGCGGUAACACGGGUUCGAAUCCCGUACGGGUCU
rnacentral:tRNA from 1 species